rnacentral:rRNA from 1 species
GAUGAACGCUAGCGGCAGGCCUAACACAUGCAAGUCGAGGGGCAGCGGGGGUAGCAAUACCCGCCGGCGACCGGCGCACGGGUGCGUAACGCGUAUGCAACCUGCCCACUCCCGGGGGAUAGCCCGCCGAAAGGCGGAUUAAUACCCCAUGGACCCUUAGCCCCGCAUGGGGCGGAGGGUAAAGCUCCGGCGGGAGUGGAUGGGCAUGCGUGCCAUUAGCUGGCUGGCGGGGUAACGGCCCACCAGGGCUACGAUGGCUAGGGGGUCUGAGAGGAUGAUCCCCCACACUGGUACUGAGACACGGACCAGACUCCUACGGGAGGCAGCAGUGAGGAAUAUUGGUCAAUGGGCGGAAGCCUGAACCAGCCAUGCCGCGUGCAGGACGACGGCCCUACGGGUUGUAAACUGCUUUUCCGGGGGAAGAAUAAGGCCCAUGCGUGGGCCGAUGCCGGUACCCCGGGAAUAAGGAUCGGCUAACUCCGUGCCAGCCGCCGCUGUAAAAC